ensembl:snRNA U6 U6 spliceosomal RNA
GUGCUCGCUUCAGCGGCACAUAUACUAAAAUUGGAACGAUACAGAGAAGAUUUGAAUGGCCCCUGUGCAAGGAUGACACUCAAAUUUGUGAAGUGUUCCAUAUUUUU